rnacentral:rRNA from 1 species
UAAGCAUAUCAAUAAGCGGAGGAAAAGAAACCAACAGGGAUUGCCCUAGUAACGGCGAGUGAAGCGGCAACAGCUCAAAUUUGAAAUCUGGCUACUUUGUAGUCCGAGUUGUAAUUUGUAGAGGAUGCUUUUGGUGAGGUGCUUUCUGAGUUCCCUGGAACGGGACGCCAGAGAGGGUGAGAGCCCCGUACAGUUAGCAACUGAUCCUUUGUAUAGCUCCUUCGACGAGUCGAGUAGUUUGGGAAUGCUGCUCUAAAUGGGAGGUAUAUCUCUUCUAAAGCUAAAUAUAGGCUAGAGACCGAUAGCGCACAAGUAGAGUGAUCGAAAGAUGAAAAGCACUUUGAAAAGAGAGUUAAACAGCACGUGAAAUUGUUGAAAGGGAAGCGCCUAUGACCAGACUUGUUUCUAUCAGUUUUGGUAGUUUUCGGACUGCUUUACUCUGUUAGUACAGGCCAACAUCAGUUUGUUGUCGGGGAGAAAGGCUUAGGGAAUGUAGCUCCCUCGGGAGUGUUAUAGACCUUUGCAUAAUACCCUUUGGCAGACUGAGGACCGCGCUUCGGCAAGGAUGUUGGCGUAAUGGUCAUCAGCGACCCGUCUUGAAACACGGACCAAGGAGUCAACCUUAUAUGCGAGUGUUUGGGUGUAAAACCCCAGCGCGUAAUGAAAGUGAACGUAGGUGAGAGCUUCGGCGCAUCAUCGACCGAUUCUGAUGUUCUCGGAUGGAUUUGAGUAAGAGCAUAUAGGGUUGGACCCGAAAGAAGGUGAACUAUGCUUGUAUAGGGUGAAGCCAGAGGAAACUCUGGUGGAGGCUCGCAGCGGUUCUGACGUGCAAAUCGAUCGUCAAAUAUGAGCAUGGGGCGAAAGACUAAUCGAACCUUCUAGUAGCUGGUUCCA